GAGGUGAGGCCGGUGAGCACAGCUGGAGCGAGGGGCAGGUUAGAACAUCUGGGUAGGUGCAGGGCAGGUUAGAACAUCUGGAUAAGUGUGGGGCAGGUUAGAACAUCUGGAUAGGUAUUGCAUAGGUUAGAACAUCUGGAUAGGUAUUGCAUAGGUUAGAACAUCCGGAUAGGUGUGGGGUAAGGUUGGAACAUCUGGGUAGGUGCAGGGCAGGUGCAAUGGGGGGGACAGGUGAACACCCCUGGGGUGGGGACAGGUUCAGGGUUACCCAAGCUAGGUCCCAGGCCCGGGGGCUCCUUCAACCGUUCUGGCAGCAUGCGGGGAGCCCCGAGCAAGCGCAGCCGAGGGGAUCCCGGAUUGCCCGAGUCGUGUCUGCUGUUUUUAACCUAAAUAAACGGUGCCCCCGGCACCAAGAGAC